AGAGUUUGAUCAUGGCUCAGAACGAACGCUGGCGGCAGGCUUAACACAUGCAAGUCGAACGCCCCGCAAGGGGAGUGGCAGACGGGUGAGUAACGCGUGGGAAUCUACCGUGCCCUGCGGAAUAGCUCCGGGAAACUGGAAUUAAUACCGCAUACGCCCUACGGGGGAAAGAUUUAUCGGGGUAUGAUGAGCCCGCGUUGGAUUAGCUAGUUGGUGGGGUAAAGGCCUACCAAGGCGACGAUCCAUAGCUGGUCUGAGAGGAUGAUCAGCCACAUUGGGACUGAGACACGGCCCAAACUCCUACGGGAGGCAGCAGUGGGGAAUAUUGGACAAUGGGCGCAAGCCUGAUCCAGCCAUGCCGCGUGAGUGAUGAAGGCCUUAGGGUUGUAAAGCUCUUUCACCGGAGAAGAUAAUGACGGUAUCCGGAGAAGAAGCCCCGGCUAACUUCGUGCCAGCAGCCGCGGUAAUACGAAGGGGGCUAGCGUUGUUCGGAAUUACUGGGCGUAAAGCGCACGUAGGCGGAUAUUUAAGUCAGGGGUGAAAUCCCAUAGCUCAACUCUGGAACUGCCUUUGAUACUGGGUAUCUUGAGUAUGGAAGAGGUAAGUGGAAUUCCGAGUGUAGAGGUGAAAUUCGUAGAUAUUCGGAGGAACACCAGUGGCGAAGGCGGCUUACUGGUCCAUUACUGAUUCUGAGGUGCGAAAGCGUGUGGAGCAAACAGGAUUAGAUACC
rnacentral:rRNA from 1 species